UUGCAUCUGAAAAUUUCUGGCUGGUUUCAGCCACCCCCAUUGUUUCAUUUAAUCGCACAACUUCAUUGAUAUUCUCAAUGCCUUUGAAAAGUUUGGAGACAUCACUGCUAAGUACAUCAGAAUCCAUAGCAGCUGCUUUCUUCACAUUUGUGAGCUCUGAGCUUAGACCAGAAACAACUUGCAGGCCAAGUUUUCUACACUUAGCAUCUUCAAUUGAAGUGGAGUUUGGAGUUUGGUUGGCACCCGAAAAUCGAGCACCUUCAGCUCUUAUAAUUUCCUGUACAACAAAAUGCA
rnacentral:misc_RNA from 1 species